rnacentral:rRNA from 1 species
GAACGAGAAAGUGGAGCAAUCCAUGAGUAAAGUGGCGACCGGGUGAGUAACACGUGACUAACCUACCUUCGAGUGGGGGAUAACCUCGGGAAACCGAGGCUAAUACCGCAUAACAUCGCAAGAUCAAAGCAGCAAUGCGCUGGAAGAGGGGGUCGCGGCUGAUUAGCUAGUUGGCGGGGUAACGGCCCACCAAGGCGAAGAUCGGUAUCCGGCCUGAGAGGGCGCACGGACACACUGGAACUGAAACACGGUCCAGACUCCUACGGGAGGCAGCAGUGGGGAAUUUUGCGCAAUGGGGGAAACCCUGACGCAGCAACGCCGCGUGGAGGAUGAAGCCCCUUGGGGCGUAAACUCCUUUCGACCAAGACGAUGAUGACGGUACUGGUGGAAGAAGCACCGGCUAACUCUGUGCCAGCAGCCGCGGUAAUACAGAGGGUGCGAGCGUUGUUCGGAAUUAUUGGGCGUAAAGGGCGCGUAGGCGGUGCCACAAGUCACUUGUGAAAUCCCCGGGCUUAACCCGGGGCCUGCAGGCGAAACUGUGGUGCUGGAGUAUGGGAGAGGUGCGUGGAAUUCCCGGUGUAGCGGUGAAAUGCGCAGAUAUCGGGAGGAACACCUGUGGCGAAAGCGGCGCACUGGACCAUAACUGACGCUGAGGCGCGAAAGCUAGGGGAGCAAACAGGAUUAGAUGCCCUGGUAGUCCUAGCCCUAAACGAUG